AGUACUGCAAACGCCUUUCGACCACUCCAGGUCCAUUCACAGCGGGAAGUGAAAUAUGCGUUUUUACGUAAGCUUUUGUUUUCGCCCAUACGUUUUCGAUGGGGUUGAGCAUUGGCGAGUAUGGCCCAAGACGCAAAAGUGUAGCCGAUCCAUUAUUGGCGGCAACUUGCUCCAGUCCAGCAUGGCAAGGUGCAUUGUCGCACACAAUAACUAAGUCCGCCAAAUUAUUUCCCAAACCGGUCCACUUCUCGAGAAUUCCCUUCACUCACUCUCCAGCACUCUCUUUUUUAAAAGAGCCGCGUCGCGUUUCCAUCGAUAACACACCCGCUACGCUUACAGCACCGAUUAAAUGUACAUUUGGUCCUCUUGAUGGCGGCAGUAGUACUGCUGCUCGCGUCCGAGAUCGUGCGCGACCUUUUGCAAGACGACAAAACAAGUUAAAAUUGGUUUCAUCAAUGUAAGCUAUUUGCUUUCCUUGCUGAAUAAAACCACUCAAAGCUGUUACAAAUUCGGAACGUUUCCGCUUGUUUUCCAACGUGUUCAUCGUCGCUGGUAUAUGGUGCACGCUUUUGAGGGUGAAUAAUUUACCCUCUAAGUAGUUUGCAGCGGUCGAUGUGCAAAUAUGUUUGUUAAACUCCAUUUGCACUUUGGAGACUAGCUGCUUUAAGGUGACAGUACAGUCUUCUUCCACCCAACGAACCAUUACAGCUACCACAUUUUCAGUCAGCUUCUUUUCAUUCCCUCCACCUCGUUUUUGAGUCACGACUCUGCCGGAUUGCACCGAUGUGUAAGCAGUUUUAUAAACUAUAUCUAAAGAUGAUGCUAAACUGCACCAGUCUUCUCCUUUAUUAGCGGCCUUAACAAUCCGCAAUCUGUCCACGUUGUUAUAUUUCCUGUAACGAGUUUUUUCCAGAACCUCGUUAUCUGCACACAAAAUUUUUUUUGUAUGCAUAAAUAGGUAAAUAUAAAAUGCUAUUUAUUUAUUUGGAUGUAUAUGUUAUUAUAUGUACGAGUACUUACCUUCAAUACCAUGUUAGCAGUUUUAUAAACUAUAUCUAAAGAUGAUGCUAAACUGCACCAGUCUGCUCCCUUAUUAGCGGCCUCAACAAUCCGCAAUCUGUCCACGUUGUUAUAUUUCCUGUAACGAGUUUUUUUCCAGAACCUCGUUAUCUGCACACAAAAAUUUGUUUAUAUGCAUAAAUAGGUAAAUAUAAAAUGCUAUUUAUUUAUUUGGAUGUAUAUGUUAUUAUAUGUACGAGUACUUACCUUCAAUAUCUCCUCGACAUAUUGGACACUUUUCUUCUACAAUGACAGGUCCACUACAUUUUGCGUGCAAUAAAUGUCCACAUGGAAGCAAACGCACGACUGGUUUUCUGCGCAUGUCCAUCAUGCAAAUCGUGCAAUUAUCCUUUAAUUCCGUUUAAUAAAUUUAUUACUCGUUACCGCAUAAAAUUACUAUUGAAUAUUAACUGCGUAUUAUAUAAAAUAUUAGUUUUUUUUUAAGUUUAUCUCCAUGCAUACUACAUACAUUAGUAAUUGCAUUUUCUAAAGUAUAUACUUUUAUGGAUUUCUGAAAUACAUUUGUGUUUUUCUGUAAUACAUUUAAGUUUUUCUGAAAUACAUUUUUUGAUUUUGUGAAACACAUUUACGCUUUCCUGAAACACAUUUGAGCUUUUCUGAAAAAGAUUUGUGGUUUUAUGAAAUACAUUUGCGGUUUUCUGAAAUAAAAUUCAGCUUUUCUGAAAUGGGUUUGUGUUUUUCUGAAAGGCAUAUUGAAUAUCUGAAAUACAUUUGCGGUUUUCUGAAACACAUCUGAGUUUUUCUGAAACACAUUUACGCUUUCCUGAAACACAUUUGAGCUUUUCUGAAAUAAAUUUGUGGUUUUCUGAAACCCAUUUAGGUUUCUCGGAAAUACAGUUGGAAAAGGUGUAGU